rnacentral:tRNA from 1 species
GCCUCCGUAGCAUAGUAGCUAUUGCGUCUGACUUGUAUAUGAAAAUCAGAGAUUUUCAAAUCUCAGAAAAUCCUGAUUUUUAAGAAAUCAGAAGGUCGAGGGUGCAGAUCCCUCCGGGGGCU